rnacentral:rRNA from 1 species
GAUCCUGGCUCAGGAUGAACGCUGGCGGCGUGCUUAACACAUGCAAGUCGAACGAAGCACUUUACCUGAUUUCCUUCGGGGAGUGAUUGUUUCUGUGACUGAGUGGCGGACGGGUGAGUAACGCGUGGAUAACCUGCCUCACACAGGGGGAGUAACAGUUGGAAACGACUGCUAAUACCGCAUAAGCGCACAGCACCGCAUGGUGCAGUGUGAAAAACUCCGGUGGU